rnacentral:rRNA from 1 species
UCGCCCCUACGGGAGGCAGCAGUGAGGAAUAUUGGUCAAUGGCCGGAAGGCUGAACCAGCCAAGCCGCGUGAAGGACGAAGGUUCCAAGUAUUGUAAACUUCUUUUGUCAAGGGACAAAAUCAGGUUCGAGAGCCUGACCGAGGGUACUUGAAGAAAAAGCAUCGGCUAACUCCGUGCCAGCAGCCGCGGUAAUACGGAGGAUGCGAGCGUUAUCCGGAUUUAUUGGGUUUAAAGGGUGCGUAGGCGGGCUGUUAAGUCAGCGGUAAAAGCCCGGGGCUCAACCCCGGCGAGCCGUUGAAACUGG